rnacentral:rRNA from 1 species
UACAGAGGGUGCAAGCGUUAAUCGGAAUUACUGGGCGUAAAGCGUGCGUAGUCGGUUAUUUAAGUCGGAUGUGAAAUCCCCGGGCUCAACCUGGGAAUUGCAUUCGAUACUGGAUGGCUAGAGUUCGGCAGAGGGAAGUGGAAUUUCUGGUGUAGCGGUGAAAUGCGUAGAUAUCAGAAGGAACAUCAGUGGCGAAAGCGACUUCCUGGACCAGAACUGACGAUCAGGCACGAAAGCGUGGGGAGCAAACGGG